rnacentral:rRNA from 1 species
GUGAGGAAUAUUGGUCAAUGGACGAGAGUCUGAACCAGCCAAGUCGCGUGAAGGAAGACGGUUCUAUGAAUUGUAAACUUCUUUUGUGCAGGAAUAAAGUGGGUUACGUGUAACCUUUUGUAUGUACUGUACGAAUAAGGAUCGGCUAACUCCGUGCCAGCAGCCGCGGUAAUACGGAGGAUCCGAGCGUUAUCCGGAUUUAUUGGGUUUAAAGGGUGCGUAGGUGGAUUGAUAAGUCAGCGGUGAAAGUUUGCAGCUUAACUGUAAAAUGGCCGUUGAAACUGUCGGUCUUGAGUGCAAAUGAGGUAGGCGGAAUGUGUUGUGUAGCGGUGAAAUGCUUAGAUAUAACACAGAACUCCGAUUGCGAAGGCAGCUUACUGGGAUGCAACUGACACUGAUGCACGAAAGCGUGGGUAUCAAACAGGAUUAGAAACCCCGGUAGUCC